AUGGCGCUCCCGUCGGGCGGCGGCUCCACGGCGCGUCUGCUCACCGUGCCGGCGCUGCUCCUCCUGCUCUCCUGCGCCGCGCUCCUCGUCUUCCUCCUCCUCCCGUCCCCCUCCGCCUCCUCCGGGGCCCACCUCUGCGCCUGCUCCGACCCCGUCACCACCCACACCACCACCAGCGUCACCACCACCACCACCACCGCCGCCCCGGCCCCCAUCGCCACCUCCCCCGACGACGUCGCCUGGCUCAAGGCGCAGCUCGCCUCCAACUCCCUCGCCCUCCUCGCCUCCGCCGACGCCUGGCACGAGCUCCGCAAGGGCAUCAACCCCCGCACCCGCGAGCGCCAGCUCUUCGACCUCAACAGGCACCAUGGGAUCUCUCAUUAUCCGGAAGAAGAGGCGACCAACCACACUGCGCUGCCUUGCCCCGGGGAGCUCCUCGUCGAGGAGCACCACAGUAACUAUGGCGAGCCAUGGGCCGGUGGCCGGGAUGUGUUUGAGUUCCUGGCCAACGCCUCCGCCCUCGCGCCCAGAGAUCAGGUCCUUGAAAUUGGGUGCGGGACGCUCCGUGUCGGUCUGCAUUUCAUCCGGUUCCUCGAUGCUGGGAGAUUCCAUUGCCUGGAGCAGGAUGAGCUGUCCCUCAUGGCUGCGCUUCGGUACGAACUGCCGUCGCAGGGGCUGUUGUACAAGCGACCGAUGAUUGUGAGAGGGGGGGAUAUGGAUUUCAGCAAGUUUGGGGAUACUGUUAUGUAUGACCUUAUUUAUGCUAGCGCCGCGUUCCUCCACAUUCAUGAUGAUCUUGUUUGGACUGGCCUUGAGAGGCUUGCAGGAAAGCUGAGGCCACAGACAGGCAGGAUUUUUGUGUCACAUAACAUUAAGUUUUGCUCAAGAAAGGGUGGUGAUGUGUGCACACGUAUGCUUACGGAUUUGGGUCUGGAAUAUGUUGGGAAGCGCACUCAUGACAGCUUGUUGUUUAACCAUUACGAGAUAUGGUUUGAAUUUCGGAGGCCAAAAAUUUAG
rnacentral:rRNA from 1 species